rnacentral:rRNA from 1 species
AUUAGACGAAUCAUCUGGAAAGAUGAAUCAAAGAAGGUAAUAAUCCUGUAGUCGAAAAUGUUGUCUCUCUUGAGUGGAUCCUGAGUACGACGGAGCACGUGAAAUUCCGUCGGAAUCUGGGAGGACCAUCUCCUAAGGCUAAAUACUCUCUAGUGACCGAUAGUGAACCAGUACCGUGAGGGAAAGGUGAAAAGCACCCCGGAAGGGGAGUGAAAUAGAACCUGAAACCGUGUGCUUACAAGUAGUCAGAGCCCGUUAAUGGGUGAUGGCGUGCCUUUUGUAGAAUGAACCGGCGAGUUACGAUUUGAUGCAAGGUUAAGCAGUAAAUGUGGAGCCGUAGCGAAAGCGAGUCUGAAUAGGGCGUUUAGUAUUUGGUCGUAGACCCGAAACCAGGUGAUCUACCCUUGGUCAGGUUGAAGUUCAGGUAACACUGAAUGGAGGACCGAACCGACUUACGUUGAAAAGUGAGCGGAUGAACUGAGGGUAGCGGAGAAAUUCCAAUCGAACCUGGAGAUAGCUGGUUCUCUCCGAAAUAGCUUUAGGGCUAGCCUCAAGUGAUGAUUAUUGGAGGUAGAGCACUGUUUGGACGAGGGGCCCCUCUCGGGUUACCGAAUUCAGACAAACUCCGAAUGCCAAUUAAUUUAACUUGGGAGUCAGAACAUGGGUGAUAAGGUCCGUGUUCGAAAGGGAAACAGCCCAGACCACCAGCUAAGGUCCCAAAAUAUAUGUUAAGUGGAAAAGGAUGUGGCGUUGCCCAGACAACUAGGAUGUUGGCUUAGAAGCAGCCAUCAUUUAAAGAGUGCGUAAUAGCUCACUAGUCGAGUGACACUGCGCCGAAAAUGUACCGGGGCUAAACAUAUUACCGAAGCUGUGGAUUGUC